rnacentral:rRNA from 1 species
AUUGAACGCUGGCGGCAUGCCUUACACAUGCAAGUCGAACGGCAGCACGGGUGCUUGCACCUGGUGGCGAGUGGCGAACGGGUGAGUAAUACAUCGGAACAUGUCCUGUAGCGGGGGAUAGCCCGGCGAAAGCCGGAUUAAUACCGCAUACGAUCUACGGAUGAAAGCGGGGGACGUUCGGGCCUCGCGCUAUAGGGUUGGCCGAUGGCUGAUUAGCUAGUUGGUGGGGUAAAGGCCUACCAAGGCGACGAUCAGUAGCUGGUCUGAGAGGACGACCAGCCACACUGGGACUGAGACACGGCCCAGACUCCUACGGGAGGCAGCAGUGGGGAAUUUUGGACAAUGGGCGAAAGCCUGAUCCAGCAAUGCCGCGUGUGUGAAGAAGGCCUUCGGGUUGUAAAGCACUUUUGUCCGGAAAGAAAUCCUUGGCCCUGAUACGGUCGGGGGAUGACGGUACCGGAAGAAUAAGCACCGGCUAACUACGUG